UAAAGCACCGGAUCCGGUGCUUUAGUGCUGGUAUGAUCGGCACCAUCAGAACUCCGAAGUUAAGCGUGCUUGGGCGAGAGUAGUACUAUGAUGGGUGACCUCCUGGAAAGUCCUCGUGGUGCAUUCC
rnacentral:rRNA from 1 species